rnacentral:rRNA from 1 species
UACAGAGGGUGCAAGCGUUAAUCGGAAUUAUUGGGCGUAAAGCGUGCGUAGACGGUUGCGUAAGUCAGAUGUGAAAGCCCCGGGCUCAACCUGGGAAUUGCAUUUGAGACUGCGUAGCUAGGGUGCGGAAGAGGGAAGCGGAAUUUCCGGUGUAGCGGUGAAAUGCGUAGAUAUCGGAAGGAACACCAGUGGCGAAAGCGGCUUCCUGGUCCAGCACCGACGUUCAGGCACGAAAGCGUGGGGAGCAAACAGG